rnacentral:rRNA from 1 species
AGAGUUUGAUCCUGGCUCAGGACGAACGCUGGCGGCGUGCUUAACACAUGCAAGUCGAACGGAAAGGCCCCUUUGGGGGUACUCGAGUGGCGAACGGGUGAGUAACACGUGAGUAACCUGCCCUUGACUUCGGGAUAACUUCAGGAAACUGGGGCUAAUACCGGAUAGGAAUCCUUGCUGCAUGGUGGGGGUUGGAAAGCUUCGGCGGUUUUGGAUGGACUCGCGGCUUAUCAGCUUGUUGGUGGGGUAGUGGCUUACCAAGGCUUUGACGGGUAGCCGGCCUGAGAGGGCGACCGGCCACAUUGGGACUGAGAUACGGCCCAGACUCCUACGGGAGGCAGCAGUGGGGAAUGUUGCACAAUGGGCGGAAGCCUGAUGCAGCAACGCCGCGUGCGGGAUGACGGCCUUCGGGUUGUAAACCGCUUUCAGCAGGGGCGAAGCUUUUGUGACGGUACCUGCGGAAGAAGCACCGGCUAACUACGUGCCAGCAGCCGCGGUGAUACGUAGGGUGCGAGCGUUGUCCGGAUUUAUUGGGCGUAAAGAGCUCGUAGGUGGUUGAUUGCGUCGGAAGUGAAAACUUGGGGCUUAACCCUGAGCGUGCUUUCGAUACGGGUUGACUUGAGGAAGGUAGGGGAGAAUGGAAUUCCUGGUGGAGCGGUGGAAUGCGCAGAUAUCAGGAGGAACACCAGUGGCGAAGGCGGUUCUCUGGAUCUUUCCUGACGCUGAGGAGCGAAAGCGUGGGGAGCGAACAGGCUUAGUACCCUGGUAGUCCACGCUGUAAACGGUGGGUACUAGGUGUGGGGUCCAUUCCACGGAUUCCGUGCCGUAGCUAACGCAUUAAGUACCCCGCCUGGGGAGUACGGCCGCAAGGCUAAAACUCAAAGGAAUUGACGG